rnacentral:rRNA from 1 species
GGGGAAUAUUGCACAAUGGAGGAAACUCUGAUGCAGCGACGCCGCGUGAGUGAAGAAGUAUUUCGGUAUGUAAAGCUCUAUCAGCAGGGAAGAAAGAAAUGACGGUACCUGACUAAGAAGCCCCGGCUAACUACGUGCCAGCAGCCGCGGUAAUACGUAGGGGGCAAGCGUUAUCCGGAUUUACUGGGUGUAAAGGGAGCGUAGACGGCGAUGCAAGUCAGAUGUGAAAACCCAUGGCUCAACCAUGGGAUUGCAUUUGAAACUGUGUUGCUAGAGUGCAGGAGAGGUAAGCGGAAUUCCUGGUGUAGCGGUGAAAUGCGUAGAUAUCAGGAGGAACACCGGUGGCGAAGGCGGCUUACUAGACUGUAACUGACGUUGAGGCUCGAAGGCGUGGGUAGCAAAC